rnacentral:rRNA from 1 species
AGUGAACGCUGGCGGCAGGCCUAACACAUGCAAGUCGAGCGGCAGCGCGGGGGCAACCCUGGCGGCGAGCGGCGGACGGGUGAGGAAUUCGUCGGAAUCUGCCUUUUUGUGGGGGAUAACGUAGGGAAACUUACGCUAAUACCGCAUACGUCCUACGGGAGAAAGUGGGGGACCGCAAGGCCUCACGCAGAAAGAUGAGCCGACGACCGAUUAGCUAGUUGGUGGGGUAAAGGCCCACCAAGGCGUCGAUCGGUAGCUGGUCUGAGAGGAUGAUCAGCCACACUGGGACUGAGACACGGCCCAGACUCCUACGGGAGGCAGCAGUGGGGAAUAUUGGACAAUGGGCGCAAGCCUGAUCCAGCCAUGCCGCGUGUGUGAAGAAGGCCUUCGGGUUGUAAAGCACUUUUGUCCGGAAAGAAAUCCCUGGAGCUAAUACCUUCGGGGGAUGACGGUACCGGAAGAAUAAGCACCGGCUAACUUCGUG